rnacentral:rRNA from 1 species
CAGCAGCCGCGGUAAUACGAAGGGUGCAAGCGUUAAUCGGAAUUACUGGGCGUAAAGCGUGCGUAGGCGGUUUGUUAAGUCCGUUGUGAAAUCCCCGGGCUCAACCUGGGAAUGGCAGUGGAUACUGGCUCGCUAGAGUGUGUCAGAGGAUGGUGGAAUUCCCGGUGUAGCGGUGAAAUGCGUAGAGAUCGGGAGGAACAUCAGUGGCGAAGGCGGCCAUCUGGGACAACACUGACGCUGAGGCACGAAAGCGUGGGGAGCAAACAGGAUUAGAUACCCCCGUAGUCCCUGUCUCUUAUAA